rnacentral:lncRNA from 1 species
UUUUUUUACAACCCGGAAAAUCUUGAUUAUUGUUCUUUUGCCGUAAAAAGUUAAGAGCAUUCACUUAGGGUGAGUAAGAAAUAAGUUGGGGAGAAUCGGUAAGUACCACAACUCUUGAAAAAAAAAAGAAAAACCGAGCAAGCAUUGAAAAUAAAAAUAUAGAAAAGAAACAUCUGUUUUGUAAAUAUGAUGUGAAAGAAAAGAACAAAAAUAGAAAGAAUGAAAAUGAAUG